CACGUAGGGCGCGAGCGUUGUCCGGAAUUAUUGGGCGUAAAGAGCUCGUAGGCGGCCUGUUGCGUCCGCUGUGAAAGCCCGGGGCUUAACCCCGGGUCGGCAGUGGAUACGGGCAGGCUAGAGGUAGGUAGGGGAGAAUGGAAUUCCCGGUGUAGCGGUGAAAUGCGCAGAUAUCGGGAGGAACACCGGUGGCGAAGGCGGUUCUCUGGACCGAUACUGACGCUGAGGCGCGAAAGCGUGGGGAGCAAACAGGG
rnacentral:rRNA from 1 species